CCACUUUCUUCACUAACACGCUAAUGGAAAAACACAAAUCAGGAUAUGUGAUGUUCCUGCUGGUCCAAAAUGGAGAGUUUAGUAAUUGAGAAGUUGAAGGAAUGGCAGCUGGAUUCCCUCGUUGACUCCUUUAAAGCCAACAGGGGAACAUCUGGUGCAGCCACGGCAGGAGCGUCUACCACUAUUUACAGCUUCCUCCAUGUUGGUGUGGUGAGCUGGAACAAA